rnacentral:rRNA from 1 species
GAUGAACGCUAGCUACAGGCUUAACACAUGCAAGUCGAGGGGAAACGAUAUUGGAAGCUUGCUUCCGAUAGGCGUCGACCGGCGCACGGGUGAGUAACGCGUAUCCAACCUGCCCACCACUUGGGAAUAACCUUGCGAAAGUAAGACUAAUACCCAAUGAUAUCUCUAGAAGACAUCUGAAGGAGAUUAAAGAUUUAUCGGUGAUGGAUGGGGAUGCGUCUGAUUAGCUUGUUGGCGGGGUAACGGCCCACCAAGGCGACGAUCAGUAGGGGUUCUGAGAGGAAGGUCCCCCACAUUGGAACUGAGACACGGUCCAAACUCCUGCGGGAGGCAGCAGUGAGGAAUAUUGGUCAAUGGGCGAGAGCCUGAACCAGCCAAGUAGCGUGCAGGAUGACGGCCCUAUGGGUUGUAAACUGCUUUUAUAAGGGAAUAAAGUGAGUCUCGUGAGACUUUUUGCAUGUACCUUAUGAAUAAGGACCGGCUAAUUCCGUGCCAGCCGCCGCAGUAA